rnacentral:rRNA from 1 species
GACGAACGCUGGCGGCGUGCUUAACACAUGCAAGUCGAACGGAAAGGCCCUGCUUUUGUGGGGUGCUCGAGUGGCGAACGGGUGAGUAACACGUGAGUAACCUGCCCUUGACUUUGGGAUAACUUCAGGAAACUGGGGCUAAUACCGGAUAGGAGCUCCUGCUGCAUGGUGGGGGUUGGAAAGUUUCGGCGGUUGGGGCUGGACUCGCGGCUUAUCGGCUUGUUGGUGGGGUAGUGGCUUACCAAGGCUUUGACGGGUAGCCGGCCUGAGAGGGUGACCGGCCACAUUGGUACUGAGAUACGGCGCAGACUCCUACGGGAGGCAGCAGUGGGGAAUAUUGCACAACGGGCGGAAGCCUGAUGCAGCAACGCCGCGUGCGGGAUGACGGCCUUCGGGGUGUAAACCGCUUUCGCCUGUGACGAAGCGUGAGUGACGGUAAUGGGUAAAGAAGCACCGGCUAACUACGUG